rnacentral:rRNA from 1 species
CAGCCGUAAACUAUGCGCGUUAGGUGUAUCGGUGACCACGAGUCACCGAGGUGCCGAAGGGAAACCGUGAAACGUGCCGCCUGGGAAGUACGGUCGCAAGGCCGAAACUUAAAGGAAUUGGCGGGGGAGCACCACAACGGGUGGAGCCUGCGGUUUAAUUGGACUCAACGCCGGGAAGCUCACCGGAUAAGACAGCGGAAUGAUUGCCGGGCUGAAGACUCUGCAUGACUAGCUGAGAGGAGGUGCAUGGCGUAGACGUCU